CAACGUUUGUUAUAUUUAAUUCCGUCAUGUCUGGGAACCGUGAUCUGCAAUAAUGGCGAAAAUCAAUUUUUAGCUGACACGUCUAAUGUUUAUUAAUUAGUCGCGAUUUAAAAUAUCAUUCCGUACAUUUUCAAAACAUACAAUGACGCGCAAUAAUAAUGUUACGAAUUUAUAUUUAAAUUAAUAAUAAUGUUACGAACAAUAUUGUAGUAUAUAUCUCGUUGUCAACCAAAUCAACAACCGUAACUGCGUACUAGCGACUGUACGGACGGACGGACACAACGGGGAUAUAAGGUGUUCUAAAGUUUAUAUUUAGAUACCUAAACACUCGGGACGCAAUUAGAUCUUUUUUCCGUUUGUCUUUGGGACACAAUACCUAUACUAUACUGUGCAAUAGUAAGAUGCAUCCCAAAUAAUAUGCGCGCUGUGUCUUUUAUUCUGUAUUUCUUAGAGUGAUUUCUUGAUGACGUGGAUAGAAACGCACAUAAAAAAUGCACGUAUACAAUAAUAAUAAAAAAAAAAAAAAAACCCGUACGUGUACAUUUUACGUGUAUCGUGUAUACGAAAGAAUAUUUCGAUUAAAUAUGAAUACUGAAUAGG